GGAUCGCCAGCAGCCGCGGUAAUUCCAGCUCCAAUAGCGUAUAUUAAAGUUGUUGCAGUUAAAAAGCUCGUAGUUGGAUUUCUGUUAAUAAUUUAUAUAUAAUAUUUGAUUAAUAUUUAUAUAAUAUUAACAUAAUUCAUAUUACUAAAUUUAUUAGUAUAUGAAAUUUUACUUUGAGAAAAUUAGAGUGCUUAAAGCAGGCAUAUGCCUUGAAUACUCCAGCAUGGAAUAAUAUUAAAGAUUUUUAUCUUUCUUAUUGGUUCUAAGAUAAAAAUAAUGAUUAAUAGGGACAGUUGGGGGCAUUUGUAUUUAACAGUCAGAGGUGAAAUUCUUAGAUUUGUUAAAGACAAACUAAUGCGAAAGCAUUUGCCAAGGAUGUUUUCAUUAAUCAAGAACGAAAGUUAGGGGAUCGAAGACGAUCAGAUACCGUCGUAGUCUUAACCAUAAACUAUGCCAACUAGAGAUUGGAGGUUGUUAGUGGA
rnacentral:rRNA from 1 species